rnacentral:rRNA from 1 species
GAUGAACGCUAGCGGCAGGCCUAACACAUGCAAGUCGAGGGAGGAGCUUUCGGGCUUCGACCGGCGUACGGGUGCGUAACGCGUAUACAAUCUGCCUUUCACAUAGGGAUAGCCCGAAGAAAUUUGGAUUAAUACCUAAUGUUAUAUAGAGGUGGCAUCACCUUUAUAUUAAAGCUGAGGCGGUGAAAGAUGAGUAUGCGUUCUAUUAGCUAGUUGGAGUGGUAACGGCUCCCCAAGGCGACGAUAGAUAGGGGUUCUGAGAAGGAUAUCCCCCACAAUGGUACUGAGAUACGGACCAGACUCCUACGGGAGGCAGCAGUGAGGAAUAUUGGACAAUGGUCGGAAGACUGAUCCAGCCAUGCCGCGUGCAGGAAGACGGCCUUAUGGGUUGUAAACUGCUUUUGCAGGGGAAGAAUAAGGACUACGCGUAGUUUGAUGACGGUACUCUGCGAAUAAGCAUCGGCUAACUCCGUG